rnacentral:rRNA from 1 species
AGAGUUUGAUCCUGGCUCAGAAUGAACGCUGGCGGCGUGCUUAACACAUGCAAGUCGUUCGAGAACGUUCCGCUUCGGUGGAACAAGUAAAGUGGCGCACGGGUGCGUAACGCGUGGGUAAUCUACCCUUGAAUUUGGGAUAACUCCGCGAAAGCGGUGCUAAUACCGGAUAAUAUCUUUUAAUCCACGGACUAUUAGAUCAAAGGUGGCUUCUACAUGUAAGCUACCGUUUAAGGAGGAGCCCGCGUACCAUUAGCUAGUUGGUAGGGUAAAUGCCUACCAAGGCAACGAUGGUUAGCUGGUCUGAGAGGAUGAUCAGCCACAUUGGAACUGACACACGGUCCAGACUCCUACGGGAGGCAGCAGUGAGGAAUUUUGCGCAAUGGGGGAAACCCUGACGCAGCAACGCCGCGUGAGCGAUGAAGGCCUUAGGGUCGUAAAACUCUGUCAAGUGGAAAGAACCUGUUAAACCUUAAUACGGUUUAGCACUGACGGUACCACUGAAGGAAGCACCGGCUAACUCCGUGCCAGCAGCCGCGGUAAUACGGGGGGUGCAAGCGUUAUUCGGAAUUAUUGGGCGUAAA